rnacentral:lncRNA from 1 species
UAAUAAUGGAACCUGUUUUCAGUAGUUUCAAGACUGUGAAUGAGCAGAAAUGUCAGUUCACUGUCUCUUUUACUACGUGUUGUGUUUACUGAGUACUUUUGCUAUAAUGUGCUAUAAUGGUGGUUCAGUUUUCUUCCUGCUGUAUGUUCACAUAACAUCUCUUGGCAAGUAAAUUGAAUUUCUUUAUUAUAAUCAAUACAUUCUGAGUACAGAGGUUUUCUGCAUUUUUCUAGCUGCUGCACUAAAUAUGAAGGAGGGAGAUAAAGGGCCUAGUACAAGUUAUUUCUGCAAGGACAUGAACAAAUGGUGCCACACGGUGGUGCUCCUGACUCCACGUUGCUCAAAGGUCUGCACUGGCUGGAGGGAGUUAAAGCAGCAAGCCUACCAGAACUGGCUUUGGAAGAAGGGCAAAGAAAGUAAACCAUCCAGUGGAAUGAGGAAUGUACUUUUCUUGCCCAAUUGCUCUACUAAGUCAGAUAUGAAAAGAAUCACAGAAUCACCUUAAGAGAUCAUUGAGUCCAAACUCCCCUGAUAAAUAGAAGAUUCAUCAAGGUUCAUAUUUCAGCAUCCUCCCAGAAACAGGGACAGAUACUUUUCUCUGGGUCAGUCAUGACUGUGAAAAGAAGCAAAGCAGAUGGAGAGGAGAUGCAUCUUUUCCAUGUAAGGAGGGGACCACACAUAAUUAAGAACAGCCAUGGUGGACCCAGGCAGGAGCCCUAUUCUUGGGGGUAGCCAACAGUUUGGCCUAAUGUCAGUUGAAAUAUUCCUUUUUCUUGUGAGUAAAACUUCAUGUUCAUCUAUAUCAAGGCUAUAGUUCAUUGAAAUCAGCAAGAAUGAUUUAAUUGAUUUUUGUGUCUAAUCCUGUAAACUGUAGCAUUCUGAUAGUCAAUGUUUAGCCUUAUUCAUUUAGGAGUUCUGUUCACCUCUCACUGAGAAUUUCUGAAAACCUUACUGAAAAAAUGGAUUGGGCAUUUAGCUAUUAAUGAGAAUCUUGCUUUUAAAUUGUGAGAAGAUAUCUUUUUAAUUAAUCCUCACAGAAAACAAUUGAAUGCUUGACCUACAAGGAUAAUUACUUGUGUUCUGCUUUGAUUAUUUUGUAGAAGUUUUAUUGAAUUUAUACAGCGUACUGCAUAAUAUAUGAUCUAAAAGUGGAGCUCUAUACGACAGUAUAAAGUGGAGAUUUAUACUACAGUAUAAACUUUCUAGAGAACUGACAACCAUGUUGUCUAUAUAAACCAUCAUUCUGUAAUUAGUCUUAGUAUAAUUUUUGUAGGGAUUAUCUUUGCUGUCAUUCUGUGUUGUCUUUUGUAUAUUUUUUCAUACAUAGAAAUCUUUCAUUAAACCGUAAACUGACUAUUGCAGAAAUUGUCCAAGGAUUCAAAACU